rnacentral:rRNA from 1 species
GACGAACGCUGGCGGCGCGCCUAACACAUGCAAGUCGAGGGGCAGCAUUAUCUUAGCUUGCUAAGAUAGAUGGCGACCGGCGCACGGGUGAGUAACGCGUAUCCAACCUUCCGGUUACUCGGGGAUAGGCUUUCGAAAGAAAGACUAAUACCCGAUGUUGCGUAUCUUUCUCCUGAAAGAUACGCCAAAGGAUUCCGGUAACCGAUGGGGAUGCGUUCCAUUAGGCAGUUGGCGGGGUAACGGCCCACCAAACCUUCGAUGGAUAGGGGUUCUGAGAGGAAGGUCCCCCGCAUUGGAACUGAGACACGGUCCAA